rnacentral:rRNA from 1 species
GACGAACGCUGGCGGCGUGCUUAACACAUGCAAGUCGAACGGACAGGCCCUGCUUUUGUUGGGUGCUCGAGUGGCGAACGGGUGAGUAACACGUGAGUAACCUGCCCUUGACUUUGGGGUAACUUCAGGAAACUGGGGCUAAUACCGGAUAUGAGCUCCUGCUGCAUGGUGGGGGUUGGAAAGAUACGGCGGUUGUGGCUGGAAUCGCGGCUUAUGAGCUUGUUGGUGAGGUAGUGACUUACCAAGCGUUUGACGGAUAGCCGGCCUGGGAGGGGGACCGGCCACAAUGGUACUGAGAUACGGCGCAGACGCCUAUCGGAGGCAGCAGGCGAGAAUAUUGCGCAACGGGCGGAAGCCUGAUGCAGCGACGCCGCGAGCGUGAUGACCUCCUUCGAGUUAUGAACCGCUGUCGCCUGUGCCGAAGCGUGCGUGACGGUAAUGGGUAAAGAAGCACCGGCUAACUACGUG